AAUGGGACUGAGUACCCAAGGCCCUCAUGUGAGGAGGGCCCAAAAUGAUGCUAGAAUGAAAAACAUGUGAAGAAAAGAAAC